GGGCCUGUAGAUCAAUAGUAGAUCGUCGGACUACGAAUCGAUCGUGGUGAUCCGGAGGUUGCAGGUGCAAGUCCUGUCAGGCUCG